rnacentral:rRNA from 1 species
UACAGGGGGGGCAAGCGUUGUUCGGAAUUACUGGGCGUAAAGGGCGCGUAGGCGGCCUUCUAAGUCGAACGUGAAAUCCCCGGGCUCAACCCGGGAACUGCGUCCGAUACUGGGAGGCUUGAAUCCGGGAGAGGAUGUGGAAUUCCAGGUGUAGCGGUGAAAUGCGUAGAUAUCUGGAGGAACACCGGUGGCGAAGGCGGCAUCCUGGACCGGUAUUGACGCUGAGGCGCGAAAGCCAGGGGAGCAAACGGG